GGGAGUGGCCAGCUCCAAGGCAAGUCUGCAAACCGUCAAGUUUUACAUUUCUACAAUAAUGAUAACGUUAAAUAUAAGCAUUAUUUUUUAUCAAUAACAGUAUACAAUAUCAAUGUAUAACUGUACUUCGCUAUUUUAAACUCGUCAAAUGGAAAAAAAGUUCCACUGGGGUGAACAGAGGCAUUUCCCAACUCCCUUCCGGAACCGUAUUUUAACCCUGGGAUUCAGGUUGGACCUCCUUUAUCAGCACACCGUGGCAUCCAUCACUGCUGAGGAAUAGAGAUACAGAGCUGUGAAACCCUGUCUGCAGAUGAAGAGCAAUGGUUCCCAGUCCUGUUCCUGGGGUCUCAAAGGGAUGCCUUGCAACUGGAGAUUUCUUAAACGAUUGCCUACAGUUACUGUGUAGGGCACGGCACAGUUGGGUGACCAGGGCCAUCUGGGACUGUCUCGUGGGGGAUUUCAGGCAUCUGUGAAGGCUACCUGUGUCCUGCAUAACUUCAUGAUGAUGAACAGGAGGGGACCUGCAGCGCUCUGCCGUGUGCCAGAGGAGAGGUCUGCUGCUCUGCAGGAUGUUGCCAGGAUGGGGGCCAACAACGCGCACAGGAGGCAAUCUGUGUGCAGGAGACCUUCACCUCCUACUUCUUCGCAAAGGAUGCUGUUCCCUGGCAACACCAUAGACUACACUAUGCACAACCAAAGGCUCUUUUAAGAGCCAUCCACAUUGCAAUAAGAGUAUUCUUCAAUUUACUUAGCUAUGUCAACUGCAGUUAUUCAUUUCAGUUUCUGUUCCUGUGAUUUCUACUUUGCCAGUGAGGGUGCUGUUUAGGUAGGUGUGGUGUCUGUACAAAAACAAAACAGGCUCUUUUAAGAGUCACCCAUAUUGAAAACAUUUAGAACAAUUAGACACCCUAUAAGCCACACCUACACACUUGUCUAUCAAUCUGAUUUAUGUGUUGUGUAGUAAGCAGGCUCCGGUGUAUAACUGUGGCUCCUUCCACCUUCAAAGAAUAGACAAGAGGACAAACCAUGGAGAAUAGUAACACACUUCAUUAUUUAUAUAACUACGCUAAAUUGUUUGUACUCAAGUGUCUGUAUAAAGUACUCUGCAGCCACUUAGUGAGGCCACACACACACACAGGUUCCUGUUGAACACCGUCUCUUUAACUGACUUAUUUUCUCAACAGUCUCCUUCACUCCAUCCCUCUCUCCCGUAAUCAUGUAGGUCAGUGGUUGCCAAACUUUUUAAAGUCCCAUACCCCUUCAAACAUUCAACCUAGCUGCGUACCCCCUCUAGCACCAGGGUCAGCGCAUUCUCAAAUGUUUUUUUACCAUCAUUGUAAGCCUGCCACUCACACACACUAUACAUUUAUUAAACAUAAGAGUGAGUCUGAGUUUGUCACAACCUGGCUCGUGGGAAUUAACAAAGAGCUCUUAUAGGAUCAAGGGCACAUAAUAAUAUUCAAUACAUUUGCUAUUUAUUUAGCCAUCUUACAUAUAAAACAUUUUGUUCAUUGAAAAUAGUUUUUUAUUUUUUCAAAUGUUAUUUAAACGUUAAUCGCAUUUUUAUUUGGCGUACCCGUUUGGAAUAUCUGCUGUAGGUUAUAUCAGCUGUGUCAGUGAACUCCUCCUGUGUCUGAACUGGCUCCAUAGAGGGCACAGCAUGAUCAGAGGUGAGAGGUCACUUGGUUGGGUCAACAGGAAGUAUUAUUAAAGAGAUGCUUUACAUUGAAGUACAGAUAGAGAUGUCGUAGUCCAAGAGUUUAGAAUUUUACCUCCUGAUUAUUAUGACUGACAGUGAUGGCAUGAUUAAGCCUUGUUUGUUUUUUUAUUCUGUCUCCUCUGUAGGUAUGUUUUGAUGUGAGAGAGUAUGCCAACCGCCAGACCCAUCAUCGCCACCUCACCCGCUGUUACGAUAACCUUCAGGCCAAUUUGGGGCCCAAGGCUGGUUAGGAGACUCCUCUAGAGACACUUAUGUAAAACAUUUCACAUUCUCUACUGGUUGAAGUCUCUCAUUUGAUGAAAUACCACACCUAUCCUGUCCUCAGAUCAGUGCAGAUGAAGGAAAUUAGAUAGAUGAACCUAUUUACAUGAUGCGUAGGAAGUGUAAUGUACUGUGUUUUAAAAAAUUAUCUUUCUGUAUAUAUGAAUUACAAAUCAGCCCUUUUAACUAGUUAAAUCAUGUUUCUAGUCUAUUGCAUAGUUAAUGUGUAACCAAGCAUUGAUAUCCCAGGACCAAGAUUGGUAAACACUUGAAGUGUAUAAUUGUAAUGCAUACAUGCAGACACAGCACCAUUCAAAGAAUGCCGUUUGAUACUCCUGGUAUUGGAUAUGACUGAAAAAGAAUCUCACAGACAUUCAUACCUGAACUGCACCUUUAUUUGCCACGGUAGAGUACAUGAUCAGUGGGAAUAUUAAAUGUACAGGCUACAAUGUGGGGAUCUCAUGCUA